rnacentral:snRNA from 1 species
GGAUGUGAGGGCGAUCUGGCUGCAACAUCUGUCACCCCAUUGAUCGCCAGGGUUGAUUCGGCUGAUCUGGCUGGCUAGGCGGGUGUCCCCUUCCUCCCUCACCACUCCAAGUGCGUCCCUCCUGAAGCUGCUCGCUCGGUGGAAGAGGACGGCCUUCCCCGAAUAGAGACGGAACCGGUCUUUUUGGUCGAGGGUAUAUGAGUAGCUGCGCUCCCCUGCUAGAACCUCCAAACAAGCUCCCAAAUUCUUGUAUUAUACUUAUCUUAGACACUUUCAGAGAAUUAUUAAUGGAGGAAUCUCAUGGAAU